GCACCCACGCGUGUUGUAACAUAGUGCAGAACAAUCUUCUCCAGCCGCAGCCGCUGCUACCUGAAGAAGCCAGCUUGGAAAAAAAACAACGGUCCGUGUCACCGAGUCGAUCAUCUACAAGCUCAAAGCAGACAUGGGUGCGAGAUUCCUUCUGCUGAUCCUGGCGGCUCUUUGCCUCUCAGCGAAUGGACAGUCGACAACGUUGCUUGAUUCUUCGACUGCUGAACUCUCAACCAUCCCCGCCACCACAACCUCCUCCACCACAACCUCCCCCGGCACAAUCACCACCACCACCACCGCCACACCUGCCGCCUCCAAAACCACCUCGACCGUCGUCACUCCCACCACCAACUCAACGGCCGCCACCUCAAUCACCACGGCCCAGCAAACCACCGCCAAGGCACCGGCGACGGCAACGGGCGGACUCGUUGCGGUGCUCCUCCCAGCAGCACUCGUCCUGGUGGCGUCGUGGUAGCAAGGGGACGCAUCCAGCCCUGCAGUUGGUGCCAACACCCACCCCAUGCCCCGUAACAACCCACCCCAUGCCCCGUAACAACCCACCCCAUGCCCCGUAACAACCCACCCCAUGCCCCGUAACAACCCACCCCAUGCCCCGGUAACAUCCACCUCUUGACUCAUAACAUCCACUCCAUAACAUUCCCUUCCGAAACCACCAACGCCAGCAGCAGCAGCAGCAUAUGGCUACACAGGGCACAAAGAUCCAUCAUCGUUGAAUACAUUUUGCACCCAGGCUUGUAGAGCAGGUUUAUGCACGGCUAACUGGACGUAAAAAAAAAAUCCACACCAAGUUGCGAUUUAAGUUUUAAUAGGUUGCAGUAAUCAAACUUUAGAGGCGCGCAUCUUACAUCUAACAAACGUACGGCCGGAUUACAUCCCCCAGUGUGCAAAACCGAAGCGCUGCUCUUCACCACGUUUACUCUUUGAUGUCUGCAAACAACUCGCAAAAAAAGCUAAAUAACUCGGCAGUUAAAUCCAAUGGACAUGGUAACUGCGACGUUGUAAAUGGCCUCGCCUUUGUGUCUGGCUUAUAUGCGAUGUCAAAAGCUAAAACGUUGAUGCCAGCCAUGUUUUAGUUUUUUAUUGAUCACGCGGAGUUAACGUUUGUGUGUGGGGGGGGGAAAUAAAUCUAACGCCGAAUAACAUCAUCGCAUUUACAAGUCACCAAUCCAGCCCUGAACGUGUUAUACAACAUUGUGAUACAUCUACAUAAAGCAAUUCAGUAGCCUCAAAUGAAUUAUUCUAUCUUUAAACAAAAAAAAACCUGGUAUAUAUUCUUUGCUGUGGCUUUUAAAUAUAGUGGACACAUUUUAAACAAUGCAUAAUCUUUCCAUAUAUAUGUUUUAUACCUUUUUUGGAGGGAGGGGGGAGUGAUAUUUCAGGAACGGUUUGCCAAAUCACUGUAUCCGGAUAUAAGAGGCGAAUUAAAGAAAUUGCAAUUAAAAACCAUACCGCGUGAUUCACAUUCAAGGGCCACUUUCUCAGUGAACGAUCGUGGCCGGCAAAUUGCCGACAGCAAGGCAACCGUGCACGCGUUCCGAAAACAACAACCGUCAAUUUUGUUACAUGGCGUGUACAUUGAUAACUAUGCACCGUGCGAUGAUCCCGGAGUGAUUUCCUUCUUAAAUUAAGCUAUUUGUGUGAAUCAAUGUUUUUACGCCGAUUUUUAUAGUUAACAAAAAAAUGCAAGUAAAUUAUACGUGCUGUGCCUAUAUAUAUAAUGUGCAUUGCAACCGGGGUGUGGGGAGAGCCGGAAGUCCAUUAUUUUAUCGCCGAUUUGCGCUAUGCACUUUCUCAAUAAAUUGCUUUGGUUUUAAUUUUUUACAAA